AAUAUAAUAAACAAUGAUUUAAUUACAAAAUAGUACUAUACAUACGCUCAUUAGAUCAGUUAUAGUUUGUUUGAUGGUAUCUACUACUCGAAUAACCAUAGUAAUUCUAGAGCUAAUACGUGCAACAAACCCCGACUUCUGGAAGGGAUGCAUUUAUUAGAUAAAAGGUCGACGCGGGCUCUGCCUGUUGCUGCGAUGAUUCAUAAUAACUCGAUGGAUCGCACAGCCAUCGUGCCUGCGACGCAUCAUUCAAAUUUCUUCCCUAUCAACUUUCGACGGUAGGAUAGUGGCCUACCAUGGUGGUGACGGGUGACAGAUAAUUAGGGUUCGAUUCUGGAGAGGGAGCCUGAGAAACGGCUACCACAUCCAAGGAAGGCA
rnacentral:ncRNA from 1 species